rnacentral:sRNA from 12 species
UGUUAUACCGGAGAGAAAUCUUGUCAGGUCUACACGCAAGUGUCGAACGAGAGUUUAAUCGUAUUCUUAAAUACGACGCCUUGUGUGGAAAACUAUCCUUUAUGGAUAGUUUUUUUGUGCAAUA